rnacentral:rRNA from 1 species
UACGUAGGGACCGAGCGUUGUCCGGAAUCAUUGGGCGUAAAGAGCGUGUAGGCGGCUUGCUAAGUCUUGCGUGAAAUCUCGGGGCUCAACCCCGAGCGGUCGUGGGAAACUGGAAGGCUAGAGUGCGGGAGAGGAGAGUGGAAUUCCCGGUGUAGCGGUGAAAUGCGCAGAUAUCGGGAAGAACACCCGUGGCGAAGGCGGCUCUCUGGAACGCAACUGACGCUGAGACGCGAAAGCGUGGGGAGCAAACAGG